GACGAACGCUGGCGGCGUGCUUAACACAUGCAAGUCGAACGGAAAGGCCCGGCUUUUGUUGUGUGCUCGAGUGACGAACGGGUGAAACACACGUGUGUAACCUGCCUGUUCUUCUGGGAUCACUUCAGUAAACUUGGGCUAAUACCGGUUAUGCGCGACUGCUGCGUGGUGUGGGUUGGGAAGUUUCGGCGGGUGGUGUUGGACUCGCGGGUUAUCGGCCUGCUUGUCGGCUAGUGGGUUGGGAAGGCUCUGACGGAUAGCCGGCCUGAGAGGGGGACCGGCCACACUGCGACUGAGACACCGGCCAGACGCCUACGGGAGGAAGGAGUGAGGGAUAGUGCACUAUGGGCGGAAGCCUGCUGCAGCAAUGCCGCGUGCGGGAUGAUGGCCUUCGGGUUGUAGACCGCUUGCGCCCUUGUUGAAGCGUGAGUGACGGUAAUGGGUAAAGAAGCACCGGCUAACUACGUG
rnacentral:rRNA from 1 species